UACGUAGGGACCAAGCGUUGUUCGGAUUUACUGGGCGUAAAGGGCGCGUAGGCGGCAAUUCAAGUCAUCUGUGAAAUCUCCGGGCUUAACUCGGAACGGUCAACUGAUACUGCGCGGCUAGAGUGCAGAAGGGGCAACUGGAAUUCUCGGUGUAGCGGUGAAAUGCGUAGAUAUCGAGAGGAACACCUGCGGCGAAGGCGGGUUGCUGGGCUGACACUGACGCUGAUGCGCGAAAGCCAGGGGAGCGAACGGG
rnacentral:rRNA from 1 species